GUCCCUAGAUUGUGUGACUCCCUUCAGGCAGUCCUUUAGUCCCCAGCCUCACCUUUGCUCUCAAUGAUGCAGGGCAAGCUGGGAUCGGGUGGCAGCCGGAAGGAGGGAGCCCUGGCAGGAGAGACACUCCAUCAGGUCCCCUUUGCCUUUCCUGCUCCACCAUUCUCACCAUGCAGGGUGGGUGGAGCAAGGAGGACCCAAGUUCUUCCCAUCUCAAAAAAAAAUUAAAAAAAAAACAAAAAACAAAA
rnacentral:lncRNA from 10 species